rnacentral:rRNA from 1 species
AACGAACGCUGGCGGCAGGCUUAACACAUGCAAGUCGAGCGAGACCUUCGGGUCUAGCGGCGGACGGGUGAGUAACGCGUGGGAACGUUCCCUUCUCUACGGAAUAGCCCCGUGAAACUGGGAGUAAUACCGUAUACGCCCUUUUGGGGAAAGAUUUAUCGGAGAAGGAUCGGCCCGCGUUGUAUUAGGUUGUUGGGGGGGUAAUGGCCCACCAAGGCUUCGAUCCAUAGCUGGGUUGAGAGGAUGAUCCGCCACACUGGGACUGAGACACGGCCCGGACUACUACGGGAGGCAGGAGUGGGGAAUCUUAGAAAAUGGGGGCAAUCAUGAAGUAGCCAUGCCGGGUGAGUGAUGAAGGCCUGAGGGAUGUAAAGCUCUUUCAGCUGGGAAGAUAAUGACGGUACCAGAAGAAGAAGCCCCGGCUAACUCCGUG